rnacentral:tRNA from 1 species
AGCCCGGUGGUGCAGUGGUCAAACAUGGCGGCCUCUGGAGCCGCUGACGAGAGUUCGAAUCUCUCCCGGGCUACCA